GAUGAAGAACGUAGCGAAAUGCGAUAAGUAAUGUGAAUUGCAGAAUUCAGUGAAUCAUCGAAUCUUUGAACGCACAUUUCGCCCGCCAGCAUUCUGGCGGGCAUGCCUGUUCGAGCGUCAUUUCAACCCUCGAGCCCCCCCGGGGGCCUCGGUGUUGGGGGACGGCACACCAGCCGCCCCCGAAAUGCAGUGGCGACCCCGCCGCAGCCUCCCCUGCGUAGUAGCACACACCUCGCACCGGAGCGCGGAGGCGGUCACGCCGUAAAACGCCCAACUUUCUUAGAGUUGACCUCGGAUCAGGUAGGAAUACCCGCUGAACUUAAGCAUAUCAAUAAGCGGAGGA
rnacentral:misc_RNA from 1 species